rnacentral:tRNA from 1 species
GAUUAUUUGUUCAGGGGAGCGAUUCUGUUUUGAAAGCAGAAAAGAAGUGUUCGAUUCACUUAAUAAUCU